GCGAGAGUGGCGGAACUGGCAGACGCGUACGGCUUAGGACCGUAUGAGGGAAACCUCUUGAGAGUUCAAGUCUCUUCUCUCGCACCA
rnacentral:tRNA from 1 species